rnacentral:rRNA from 1 species
GAUGAACGCUGGCGGCGUGCCUAAUACAUGCAAGUCGAGCGAACAGACGAGGAGCUUGCUCCUCUGACGUUAGCGGCGGACGGGUGAGUAACACGUGGAUAACCUACCUAUAAGACUGGGAUAACUUCGGGAAACCGGAGCUAAUACCGGAUAAUAUAUUGAACCGCAUGGUUCAAUGGUGAAAGACGGUUUUGCUGUCACUUAUAGAUGGAUCCGCGCCGCAUUAGCUAGUUGGUAAGGUAACGGCUUACCAAGGCAACGAUGCGUAGCCGACCUGAGAUGGUGAUCGGCCACACUGGAACUGAGACACGGUCCAGACUCCUACGGGAGGCAGCAGUAGGGAAUCUUCCGCAAUGGGCGAAAGCCUGACGGAGCAACGCCGCGUGAGUGAUGAAGGUCUUCGGAUCGUAAAACUCUGUUAUUAGGGAAGAACAAAUGUGUAAGUAACUAUGCACGUCUUGACGGUACCUAAUCAGAAAGCCACGGCUAACUACGUG